rnacentral:lncRNA from 1 species
UCCUUAAGCUCACGCCUCGCCGCAAGAAUCGCCGCUUCAUUCAUCAAGUUCUGCAAGUCAGCGCCAGUGAAACCCGGAGUCCUCCUCGCAACCUUAUCAAAAUCCACAUCUUUACCAAUCGCCUUCCCUCUAGAAUGAACCUGAAGAAUCUUUACCCUCCCAGCCACAUCAGGCCUAUCAACCGUCACCUGCCUAUCAAACCUCCCAGGCCUCAGCAACGCAGAGUCCAAAACAUCAGGCCUAUUCGUAGCAGCCAACACAAUCACACCAGAGUUACCA